rnacentral:rRNA from 1 species
GAUGAACGCUGGCGGCGUGCCUAAUACAUGCAAGUCGAGCGAACAGAUGAGGAGCUUGCUCCUCUGACGUUAGCGGCGGACGGGUGAGUAACACGUGGAUAACCUACCUAUAAGACUGGGAUAACUUCGGGAAACCGGAGCUAAUACCGGAUAAUAUAUUGAACCGCAUGGUUCAAUAGUGAAAGACGGUUUUGCUGUCACUUAUAGAUGGAUCCGCGCCGCAUUAGCUAGUUGGUAAGGUAACGGCUUACCAAGGCAACGAUGCGUAGCCGACCUGAGAGGGUGAUCGGCCACACUGGAACUUAGACACGGUCCAGACUCCUACGGGAGGCAGCAGUAGGGAAUCUUCCGCAAUGGGCGAAAGCCUUACGGAGCAGCGGCGCGUGAGUGAUGAAAAUCUUCGGAUCGGAAAACUCUGUUAUUAGGGGAGAACAAAUGUGUAAGUAACUAUGCACGUCUUGACGGUACCUAAUCAGAAAGCCACGGCUAACUACGUG